rnacentral:tRNA from 247 species
GGGGCUGUAGCUCAGCUGGGAGAGCGCGUCGUUCGCAAUGACGAGGUCAGGGGUUCGAUCCCCCUCAGCUCCACCA